GACGAACCGUGCGAACGUUGUUCGGAAUCACUGGGCUUAAAGGGCGCGUAGGCGGGCCACCAAGUCUGGGGUGAAAGCCCCCGGCUCAACCGGGGAAUUGCCUGAGAUACUGGUGGUCUGGAGGGAGGUAGGGGCAGCGGGAACUUCCGGUGGAGCGGUGAAAUGCGUUGAUAUCGGAAGGAACGCCGGUGGCGAAAGCGCGCUGCUGGACCUCGUUCUGACGCUGAGGCGCGAAAGCUAGGGGAGCGAACGGG
rnacentral:rRNA from 1 species